AUUAUAUACAGGAAAAAAUACCCAAACCCCAAACCCCUAAUAAGUUCCUGUUGGUCCUCUUCUUCCCCUCAUCUUACUCUCCUUCCAGACGCGGGUCCGCCGAAGCACCGCCAGCGCCGCUUUGCCUCCCAAUCGUACUUUCCAUGUCUGUUUCGGCUCCAGCACGUCGCUCCGUCCCCGAAAUAGUUCCUCCGCCACCACGCAAAGGCACGAUUUUUUCCGCUUCAGCUGCUGCUUCUGCGGUUAAAUCUGAAGAUUCUAAGCCAUAAAGCUAACCUAUCUAGAGGCAAUGAUGGCGGAAAGCAAGAAUUCUAAAGCACAUGUUAUAAAUUCUAAUAGAGCAUUGACUUCGUUACAAAAAAAUGUGGGGUUUCAACCUCAUAAGCCAUGGCUUAGAUCACAGUCCAAAAAACCAGAACAUACUCCACCUCCCAGUGAAGAUCCACAUGUAUCCCAACAUCCUCCUUCAACUCGAAUUGAUCAGCCAUCAUCUCCAACUGUUGCGAAUCCAGAUAUUAACACUACAGCCAAGAAAAAAGGUAGGGGACCUACUACAAAUCCAAAUGCGAAAAAGAGAAAGGGGGAAUCUAAAGGUGAAGUGAUACUUUCAAAGCGCUUGAGUCAAGCUGUGGGCGGUGAACAACUAACGGAAUUCAUAACAGAAAUGGGAGUUGUGUUGCGACAAUAUGCACCACUUAAUGUUAAAAACUGGGCUGAAGUGCCUAUACAUUACAAAGAUAAGAUGUGGGAUGAUUUAAUGGUAUGAUUUAUAUUUUAUUUUCUUUACCAUGAAAUUAUGCUUUUUGUUAGCACUUUUCAUCAUAUUAUUUAAGUACUUUGACCAGUUGUAUGAAUUUACUCCUUUUAGGAAAAAUAUAAUGGAAUUGAUGGUUUUAUAAAGGAAGUCAUGUACAAUUUCAAUCAUAUGUAUAGAGAAUGGAGACACCGCAAGCAUCUACAUUAUAAACAAUUUGAGACAGAUGAGGAAAGGCUUCAAAAUUGUCUACAUGAUAUUACAGAAUCAGAUUGGGCAUCUUUAGUUGAAUAUUUUGGCUCUGAACCAUUUAAGGUUAUAACAUUUUUUAUACAUAUAUUUAUUAACUUGUAAGAAUUAUUUGUACAUUCUAAUAUAACAAUGUUUAAUUUCUUGUAGAGGAUGUCGGCACGGAAUAAAGCAAAUCGAGCAAAACAAUCAACCAGCUCAAUCUGUGGAAGAAAAUCAUUUGCUAGUGUUCUAUAUGAUAUGGUGAUUCUGUCAAUUGAUUAAAUUUAUGAUUUUGUCAAUGAAUACUGAAAGUAAUAUAAUCAAUUGAAAUCUUGAUGUCAUGAAAGUAAUAUAAUAUAAAAAGGUAUUCACAAAUUUAAUCAAUUGACAGAAUCACCAUAUCAUACAGAACACUAGCAAAUGAUUUUCUUCCACGGAUUGAGCUGGUUGAUUGUUUUGCUCAAUUUGCUUUAUUCCGUGCCGACAUCCUCUACAAGAAAUUAAACAUUGUUAUAUUAGAAUGUACAAAUAAUUCUUACAAGUUAAUAAAUAUAUGUAUAACAAAUUUUAUAACCUUAAAUAGUUCAGAGCCAAAAUAUUCAACUAAAGAUGUCCAAUCUGAUUCUGUAAUAUCAUCUGGACAAUUUUGAAGCCUUUCCUCAUCUAUCUCAAAUUGUUUAUAAUGUAGAUGCUUGCGGUGUCUCCAUUCUCUAUACAUAUGAUUGAAAUUAUACAUGACUUCCUUUCUAAAACCAUCAAUUCCAUUAUAUUUUUCCUAAAAGGAGUAAAUUCAUACAACUUGUCAAAGUACUUAAAUAAUAUGAUGAAAAGUGCUAACAAGAAGCAUAAUUUCAUGGUAAAGAAAAUAAAACAUAAAUCAUACCAUUAAAUCAUCCCACAUCGGGUAGCCCUUCGAUUAUUCUAAUUUGCGAAUAUUUGGUUGUCCUGCUUAUAUUCAUAUAAAUGAAGGUAAGUUAGAACCUAGGGCUAAAAAGUGCAUUUUUAUUGGUUAUGCAUAGGGAGCCAAGGGAUAUAAAUUGUGGUAUCCUGAAUAGUCUAAAUUAAUUAUUAGUAGGGAUGUCACAUUUGAUGAAUCUGCUAUGUUAUAUCUUAACCGUAAUUCUUCUGAUGAGACCCCGAGUGCUAGCAAGCAAGUGGAGGUAGAGACUGAUGGUAUAGUUCAGUCACAGAAUUCUUUUCAGUCAUAACAAGUUCAGUCGGCAGAUACCUCAGUAGCUGAAACCCACAAGCUGAGAGGUAGAGCAUUGCUACAGUCAGAGUGAGAAGACAGAUCAAACCACCGGAGAGAUACGGUUAUGAAAAUAUGGUUGCUUACGUUCUUUCAGUAUCACAAGAUACAGAAAAAGAAGGUGAACCUUCCACAUAUAAUCAAGUUAUUUCUGGUGCUAGUUCUGCACAGUGGUUGGUGGCAAUGAAUGAGGAGAUGGGAGUCUCUCAAUAAGAAUCGCACAUGGGAGUUGAUAAAACCGCCUACAUGCAAGAAAAUUGUUGGCUGCAAGUGGGUCUUCAAGAAAAAAGACGGAAUUCCUGGCGUGGAAGAUACAAGGUAUAAAGCUCGUUUAGUUGCUAAAGGCUACAAUCAGGUAGAAAGUGUGACUUUAAUAAUAUUUUUUCACCCGUCGUGAAGCAUACUUUUAUCCGUAUUCUUUUAUCGUUAGUAGCCAUAAAUGACCUGUAUCUUGAGCAGCUUGAUGUUAAGACAGUUUUUAUGCAUGGAGAACUUGAGAAGUAAAUUUAUAUGAAACAACCGGACGGAUUUAUUGUUGAAAGGAAGAAGAACCAUGUUUGUCUGUUAAAGAAAUUGCUUUAUGGCUUAAAGCAGUCUCCUCGACAAUGGUAUAAGCGGUUCAACUCUUUCAUGACAGGUCACGGAUACUCCAGAAGCAAACGUGACAGUUGUGUGUAUUUCAGAAAGCUUGAUAAAGAAUCUUUCAUAUAUUUAUUGCUCUAUGUCGAUGAUAUGUUAAUUGCUUCUAGCGAUAUAGUUGAGAUAAAUAAAUUGAAGGUUUUACUUAAGGGUGAGUUUGAGAUGAAAGAUCUAGGUAUUGCUAAGAUAAUUUUUAGUAUGGAAAUUAAGAGGAACAACAAGUCAGGGCUACUGCAUUUGACACAAGAGAAAUACAUAGAGAAGAUUUUAAAGCGUUUCGGGAUGACAGACGCAAAACCGGUGAGCACUCAUUUUGCGGCGCAUUUCGGACUUUCCGCCGAGUUAUCACCGAAGUUCGAUGAUGAGCGGGAGUACAUGUCACAUGUUCCUUAUUUUAGUGCUGUCGGGAAUAUCAUGUACGCCAUGGUUUGCACACGGCCGGACAUCUCCUACGCAGUGAGCAUGGUUAGCAGAUAUAUGAUCAAUCCCAGCAAGGCUCAUUGGCAUGCUGUUAAGUGAAUUUUGAGAUACUUACGAGGUAUCACUAACACUUGCUUGGAGUUUGGGAGGUGUAAGGAUGGUGUGGUUGGAUAUGUUGAUUCGGAUUUUGCAGGUGGUUUGGAUAAGAGGAGAUCACUUUCAGGUUAUGUAUUUUUUAUUGGCAGAUGUGCAGUUAGUUGGAAAGCUUCACUACAAACUAUUGUCGCCUUGUCUACGAUGGAGACGGAAUAUAUUGCUAUGACAGAAGGUGUGAAGGAAGCUAUGUGGCUAAGAAGCUUAUUUGGAGAGCUUACUUUUUGUUGGGAUCAAACGAUUGUUUAUUCAGAUAGUCAAAGUGCUAUUCAUUUGUCGAAAGAUCAGAUGUUUCAUGAGAGGACAAAGCACAUUGAUGUAAA